UCAAAACAGGAUAGAUUUAUUUAAAAUUUAAGUGAGGUUCUUGGAGCUUUGGUCAUGUUUUAAGCUGAAUCGAGGUUGAUUUCAUUUUUUGGUGGACCUGAAAUUGUCUGAAAUAUGAGAGUUUUCAGGUGCUUUAUGUGAUAUGGAAAUGGCAAAUCUUGCAGGAGUAGAUGUAAUGGAUGUUUGCAUGACUUCAUCCAGCUGAAUUUGAGUUUCACCUUGAGUUUCAGUGUUUGGUUAAAUCCGGACCGUAUGGAAGAACUCACGGAUAAGGGCGGAUUGGGAGCUCCCCAUAGACAGCGUGCACAUAACUCUAGGGCAUCAGAUGAGGAUACUAAGAGUAAUCUGGACAUGGCAGCUUUCUCGUAAGGAUCUCCAGACACUCUGAGGACAUGCCCCUGCACGUGGCAGCCGAGCUGCAUCCCGGGCUGCUGCCAGCCGAGUGCCUGGAGUU